rnacentral:rRNA from 1 species
AGAGUUUGAUCCUGGCUCAGGACGAACGCUGGCGGCGUGCUUAACACAUGCAAGUCGAACGAUGAUGCCCAGCUUGCUGGGUGGAUUAGUGGCGAACGGGUGAGUAACACGUGAGUAACCUGCCCCUGACUCUGGGAUAAGCGUUGGAAACGACGUCUAAUACUGGAUAUGAUCACCGGCCGCAUGGUCUGGUGGUGGAAAGAUUUUUUGGUUGGGGAUGGACUCGCGGCCUAUCAGCUUGUUGGUGAGGUAAUGGCUCACCAAGGCGACGACGGGUAGCCGGCCUGAGAGGGUGACCGGCCACACUGGGACUGAGACACGGCCCAGACUCCUACGGGAGGCAGCAGUGGGGAAUAUUGCACAAUGGGCGAAAGCCUGAUGCAGCAACGCCGCGUGAGGGAUGACGGCCUUCGGGUUGUAAACCUCUUUUAGUAGGGAAGAAGCGAAAGCGACGGUACCUGCAGAAAAAGCACCGGCUAACUACGUGCCAGCAGCCGCGGUAAUACGUAGGGUGCAAGCGUUGUCCGGAAUUAUUGGGCGUAAAGAGCUCGUAGGCGGUUUGUCGCGUCUGCUGUGAAAUCCCGAGGCUCAACCUCGGGCUUGCAGUGGGUACGGGCAGACUAGAGUGCGGUAGGGGAGAUUGGAAUUCCUGGUGUAGCGGUGGAAUGCGCAGAUAUCAGGAGGAACACCGAUGGCGAAGGCAGAUCUCUGGGCCGUAACUGACGCUGAGGAGCGAAAGCAUGGGGAGCGAACAGGAUUAGAUACCCUGGUAGUCCAUGCCGUAAACGUUGGGCGCUAGAUGUAGGGACCUUUCCACGGUUUCUGUGUCGUAGCUAACGCAUUAAGCGCCCCGCCUGGGGAGUACGGCCGCAAGGCUAAAACUCAAAGGAAUUGACGGGGGCCCGCACAAGCGGCGGAGCAUGCGGAUUAAUUCGAUGCAACGCGAAGAACCUUACCAAGGCUUGACAUACACCGGAAACGGCCAGAGAUGGUCGCCCCCUUGUGGUCGGUGUACAGGUGGUGCAUGGUUGUCGUCAGCUCGUGUCGUGAGAUGUUGGGUUAAGUCCCGCAACGAGCGCAACCCUCGUUCUAUGUUGCCAGCGGGUUAUGCCGGGGACUCAUAGGAGACUGCCGGGGUCAACUCGGAGGAAGGUGGGGAUGACGUCAAAUCAUCAUGCCCCUUAUGUCUUGGGCUUCACGCAUGCUACAAUGGCCGGUACAAAGGGCUGCGAUACCGUAAGGUGGAGCGAAUCCCAAAAAGCCGGUCUCAGUUCGGAUUGAGGUCUGCAACUCGACCUCAUGAAGUCGGAGUCGCUAGUAAUCGCAGAUCAGCAACGCUGCGGUGAAUACGUUCCCGGGCCUUGUACACACCGCCCGUCAAGUCAUGAAAGUCGGUAACACCCGAAGCCGGUGGCCUAACCCUUGUGGAAGGAGCCGUCGAAGGCGGGAUCGGUGAUUAGGACUAAGUCGUAACAAGGUAACC